rnacentral:tRNA from 1 species
AAAAUUUAGUUAAAAAAUAACGUUAGUUUGUCAAACUACAAUUAUCUUAUUAGAUAGUUUUUU